GUGAAUCCACAGCUUGUUCCUCUCGGUGCCUCGGCGUCCCGCGGUGUAGACGGGUGGCCGUUCACGCACUGAAGAACGUUCGGUUGUUGCCUCCUAUUGCACACAAAGCCUCCUACCACGUUCGUGCCCGGUUUUUGUGUGAACGUGCAUCCCGCGUCCGGGUGACCGGCCAGGGCUGGGAUUGCCACAUCCCGUGUCGGGUGGGAAGCGGGAGCCGAGACCGUCGCCCGGGGGGCCGCUGCCCGCCUGCUCCCUCCACAGCUGCUCCCUGGCCUCCCGUAGGCCCUGGGGGCGCCUCGUCGGGGCUGGGGGGGGGUUGCUCUCCGGCGUCUAAUGACACCGAGGUCUUCUCGUGGCCUCUUCGUCGUCCCCGCAUCCGCUUUGGAUCAAGACCUUUCCUACCUGCAGAUAGUGCUGUCUCAGUGUGGACACUCUGCGUCCCUCCUCUGACACGGGGUUCACAGCACCUGUUUCCUGCCGUUCUCUUGACAGUGUCUCUGGGGGAGCAAAAGUCUGCGUGGGGAUGAAGUCCAGUUUAUCAGUUUCUUCUCCGAUGGCGUCUCUGCAAACUCCGAGCAAGCCCAUGUCGUGAAGAUCGUGUCCCGUGAUCUCCUGCGUACGUUGUGUAUGUUGUGCACUUAAAUCCGGGACUCCCUUUGAGCUUACCUUCGCCUGAGGUGUGGACUGGAGGUGCGGGCUCCCCCCUCGCGCGUGGGUGACACCGGCCCAGUUCCAUUUGCUGAAACAGCUGCUUGUCCUACGCUGAGCCGCGCUCACACGGCUGCCAGAGUUUUCCGUGGCUCUGUUUCUGGACCACCCAUCUGGUCGGCGCCCUGGUGCCUCCAACACCAGUCCCACCCUGUGUUGCUCAUGCAGCUGUGUGGUAAGUGUUCCGAUCAGGUGGCUUCCAGCAGUUUUGUUCUCUUUCCAGUUGUUUUACGUCUAGCUCCAUUGGUCUUAUGUGUGCAUUUUAGAAUUUGCCCGUCUCUGUCUACAAAAAAAAAAAAUCUUGCUGGAAUUUUGCCUCGUGAUGUGUGAAGUCUAUAGAUCACUUUGAGGAGAACUGACAUCUUUGCUAUGCUAAGCCUUCGAAUUCAUGAACAUGCACCAAAAAGAUACUGUACUACCGAUAACAAAGUCUGGCAUUCAAAUCAUCGUUCUUCUGUAGAAACUGUCCACUUCUGCAUUUGUGACGCAUUUGGGGCCAAGUGGCAGGACUUAGAGGAAAAACUUCUGCUAAUUAUCAAGUUCAGCACGGUUCCAGGAUCCAAGAGCAAUAUACAAAAAUCAGCCACAUGUCUUUAUGUUAGCAAUGAGCAAUCCAGUGAUAAAAUCGAGAAAAAAUUCCAUUCACAACAGCAUUGAAAAGAAAGUAGGAGUCAGUUUAACAAACGGAGUGUAAGACUUAAACGCUAUGCAGCAUUUCUUUUUUUUUUUUUUGUAACAAUGAUCUAUUUUUGAGAGAGACAGAGCGAGAGGAGAGGAGGGGCAGAGAGAGAGGGGGACACAGACUCAGAUGCAGGCUCCAGGCUCCGAGCUGUCAGCACAGAGCCCAACGUGGAGCUUGAACCCACGAACCAGGAGAUCAUGACCUGAUCCAAAGUCGGACGGUUGACUGAGCCACUCAAGUGUCUCUCUUUUUUUGUUGCUUAUUUUUGAGAGAGAGAGAGAGAGAGAGAGCACAAUCAAGGGAGGGGCAACAAGAGGGAGGGAGACCCAGAAUCUGCGGCAGCCUCUAGGCCCCAAGCUAUCAGCAUAGAGCCCGACGCGGGGCUCGAACCCACAGACCAUGAGAUCACCACCUGAGCCGAAGUCAGACGGUUAACUGAGCCACCUAGGCGUCUCCACAGCAUUUCUAAGUGAUAUUAAAGAAGAUCUAGAUAAAUACAGAGACACCCACUGUUAAUGGGCUGGAGAACUCAAUAUUGUUCAAGUGGCAAUAUUCGCCAAAUUGAUUAAUAGAUUGAAUGCAAUCCUUGUCAAAAUGAGAGUGUUUUGGGGUUUGGGGAGCAAAAUCAGCAAUCUGAUCGUAAAACUUGCAUGGACACGCAGAGGACACAGGACAGCCAAACAAUUCUGAAAGGAAACAAAGUUGGAGAAUUUACACGUUCCAAUUUGAAAACUUACUACAUGGUAACAGCAAUAAACACAGUGUCUUCUGGCAUAAGGACUGACAUAUGGAUCAAUGGAACCGCGUUGAGAGUCCAGAAACAGAUUCAUAGAUUUAUCGCCAAUUGAUUUUUGACGAAAGUGCCACGGCUUUCAAGGGGGGAAAAUGCUCUUUUCAGCAAGUGGUGCUAUGACAAUUGGAAACCCAUGUAAAAACAGAAUUUGGACCCCUACCUUACACUGCACAAAAAUUAACUCGAGAUCAACCAUAAACCCGAGUGUAAGAUCUGAAGCUGUAAGAUUUUUGAAAGGACACAGAAGAGAAAAUCUUCGUGACCUUGAGACAGGCAGUGUUCUUAGGUGCAACGCCAAAAGCAGGAAUCCAUGAAAGAUGAAUCCGAGUUGAUCAAUAGUGCAGAUUCUGUGCUUCAAGUGACGAUAAGAUAACGAAACUGGGAUAAAAUGUUUGCAGGUGAGAUGUAAUAAGGGAUUUGUCUUUAGGACACUUGCAGCUCAAAUAUAAGACAAACAUACGCUCUAGGUUAUUAGGUGUAUUUUACAGCAAUUGAAACCAAAUAUGAAAUUUAAAACAGUAAUCAUAAGACAACCAAGCAAGUA